rnacentral:rRNA from 1 species
AUUGAACGCUGGCGGCAGGCUUAACCCAUGCAAGUCGAGCGGAGAGAGGUAGCUUGCUACUGAUCUUAGCGGCGGACGGGUGAGUAAUGCUUAGGAAUCUGCCUAUUAGUGGGGGACAACAUUUCGAAAGGAAUGCUAAUACCGCAUACGUCCUACGGGAGAAAGCAGGGGAUCUUCGGACCUUGCGCUAAUAGAUGAGCCUAAGUCGGAUUAGCUAGUUGGUGGGGUAAAGGCCUACCAAGGCGACGAUCUGUAGCAGGUCUGAGAGGAUGAUCCGCCACACUGGGACUGAGACACGGCCCAGACUCCUACGGGAGGCAGCAGUGGGGAAUAUUGGACAAUGGGCGCAAGCCUGAUCCAGCCAUGCCGCGUGUGUGAAGAAGGCCUUAUGGUUGUAAAGCACUUUAAGCGAGGAGGAGGCUACUUUAGAUAAUACCUAGAGAUAGUGGACGUUACUCGCAGAAUAAGCACCGGCUAACUCUGUGCCAGCCGCCGCGGUAAGAC